GUCUACAGCCAUGCUACCCUGAAUAAGCCCAAUCCCGUCUGAUCUCGGAAGCUAAGCAGGGUCGGGCCUGGUUAGUACUUGGAUGGGAGACCACCUAGGAAGACUAGGUGCUGUAGGCG
rnacentral:rRNA from 1 species